rnacentral:rRNA from 1 species
CAGUCGCCGCGGUAAUACGGAGGGUGCAAGCGUUAAUCGGAAUUACUGGGCGUAAAGCGCACGCAGGCGGUCUGACAAGUCAGAUGUGAAAUCCCCGGGCUUAACCUGGGAUCUGCAUUUGAAACUGUCAGGCUGGAGUCUUGUAGAGGGGGGUGGAAUUCCAGGUGUAGCGGUGAAAUGCGUAGAGAUCUGGAGGAAUACCGGUGGCGAAGGCGGCCCCCUGGACAAAGACUGACGCUCAGGUGCGAAAGCGUGGGGAGCAAACAGGAUUAGAUACCCGAGUAGUCCCUGUCUCUUAUAC